CAGUCGCCGCGGUAAUACGUAGGUGGCAAGCGUUGUCCGGAAUUAUUGGGCGUAAAGGGCUCGCAGGCGGUUUCUUAAGUCUGGUGUGAAAGCCCCCGGCUCAACCGGGGAGGGUCAUUGGAAACUGGGAAACUUGAGUGCAGAAGAGGAGAGUGGAAUUCCACGUGUAGCGGUGAAAUGCGUAGAGAUGUGGAGGAACACCAGUGGCGAAGGCGACUCUCUGGUCUGUAACUGACGCUGAGGAGCGGAAGCGUGGGGAGCGAACAGGAUUAGAUACCCGGGUAGUCCCUGUCUCUUAUAC
rnacentral:rRNA from 1 species